GUGCUCGCUUUGGCAGCACAUAUACUAAUAUUGGAACGAUACAGAGAAGAUUAGCAUGGCCCCUGCACAAGGAUGACACGCAAAUUCAUGAAGCAUUUCAUAUUUUU
rnacentral:snRNA from 1 species